rnacentral:rRNA from 1 species
GAUGAACGCUGGCGGCGUGCCUAAUACAUGCAAGUCGAGCGAACAGACGAGGAGCUUGCUCCUCUGACGUUAGCGGCGGACGGGUGAGUAACACGUGGAUAACCUACCUAUAAGACUGGGAUAACUUCGGGAAACCGGAGCUAAUACCGGAUAAUAUAUUGAACCGCAUGGUUCAAUAGUGAAAGACGGUUUUGCUGUCACUUAUAGAUGGAUCCGCGCCGCAUUAGCUAGUUGGUAAGGUAACGGCUUACCAAGGCAACGAUGCGUAGCCGACCUGAGAGGGUGAUCGGCCACACUGGAACUGGGCCACGGUCCAGACUCCUACGGGAGGCAGCAGUAGGGAAUCUUCCGCAAUGGGCGAAAGCCUGACGGAGCAACGCCGCGUGAGUGAUGAAGGUCUUCGGAUCGUAAAACUCUGUUAUUAGGGAAGAACAAAUGCGUAAGUAACUAUGCACGUCUUGACGGUACCUAAUCAGAAAGCCACGGCUAACUACGUG